rnacentral:rRNA from 1 species
UACGUAGGGGGCAAGCGUUGUCCGGAAUCAUUGGGCGUAAAGAGCGUGUAGGCGGCUUGGUAAGUCCGCUGUGAAAGUCCAGGGCUCAACCCUGGAAAGCCAGUGGAUACUGUCAAGCUAGAGUCCGGAAGAGGCGAGUGGAAUUCCUGGUGUAGCGGUGAAAUGCGCAGAUAUCAGGAGGAACACCAAUGGCGAAGGCAGCUCGCUGGGACGGUACUGACGCUGAGACGCGAAAGCGUGGGUAGCAAACAGG